rnacentral:rRNA from 1 species
CCUACGGGCGGCAGCAGUAGGGAAUAUUGCACAAUGGGGGGAACCCUGAUGCAGCAACGCCGCGUGGGUGAAGAAGGUUUUCGGAUCGUAAAGCCCUAUUGUCAGAGAAGAAAAUGACGGUAACUGACCAAUAAGCACCGGCUAACUACGUGCCAGCAGCCGCGGUAAUACGGAGGGUGCAAGCGUUACUCGGAAUCACUGGGCGUAAAGGGGGCGCAGGCGGUAUAGCAAGUCAGAUGUGAAAGCCGAGGGCCUAACCCUAGGACUGCAUUUGGAACUGUAAGUCUAGAGUAGAGGAGGGGUAGGUGGAAUUCUUGGUGUAGCGGUAAAAUGCGUAGAGAUCAAGAGGAAUAC